AGCAGCCGCGGUAAUUCCAGCUCCAAUAGCGUAUAUUAAAGUUGUUGCAGUUAAAAAGCUCGUAGUCGGACCCAAGACAAUAGUACCAUUGGUCGACCGUCAGGUUGUACUGAUGUCGUUGAGUCUCAUGAAUCGGGGAGGUGGAUGGUCGAAAGGGCAUUCAAGGAACCGAGAUUUACUGUGAAGAAAU
rnacentral:rRNA from 1 species